rnacentral:lncRNA from 1 species
AAAUACUCAGAACUGUCACUCAUUUUAUAGUUAAUUCUACAAGUCUUCAUGUAUUUGUUUUAAAGGUCCGGUAAGAGCAACAAGUUUAAAAAUAAAAAAAAAACAUAUAACAAACAUAAUAAGGAUAAUAAAAAUUAUUACUUAAUACACAAAACUUACACAACUAAACUGGAGAAAAAAUAUCCAAAAACAAAAGGUACUCUCAACAACUUUAAUAUAAUUUAUGUACUCUUAAUAGUACAAGAAACAAAUUAAAAAGACAAACAAACAAUAAGUC